GAGCCAGAUCCACAGCUGCUACCACAGCUGGAAGCACAGAGCCUCCUGAGAAGCCAGUUGCAGACUCAGAUGCUGCUGUUUCCUGUUUAUUAUUAUAGUGGAAUUUUUUAUGUUUGGGAGUGAUGACGAUGUCUAAGAUACAGCACUGGAAGAAAGCAGAAAGC